rnacentral:rRNA from 1 species
GACGAACGCUGGCGGCGUGCUUAACACAUGCAAGUCGAACGAAGAGCGAUGGAAGCUUGCUUCUAUCAAUCUUAGUGGCGAACGGGUGAGUAACGCGUAAUCAACCUGCCCUUCAGAGGGGGACAACAGUUGGAAACGACUGCUAAUACCGCAUACGAUCUAAUCUCGGCAUCGAGUAUAGAUGAAAGGUGGCCUCUACAUGUAAGCUAUCACUGAAGCAGGGUAUUGCGUCUGAUUAGCUAGUUGGAGGGGUAACGGCCCACCAAGGCGAUGAUCAGUAGCCGGUCUGAGAGGAUGGACGGCCACAUUGGGACUGAGACAAGGCCCAGACUCCUACGGGAGGCAGCAGUGGGGAAUCUUCCGCAAUGGACGAAAGUCUGACGGAGCAACGCCGCGUGAGUGAUGACGGCCUUCGGGUUGUAAAGCUCUGUUAAUCGGGACGAAAGGCCUUCUUGCGAAUAGUGAGAAGGAUUGACGGUACCGGAAUAGAAAGCCACGGCUAACUACGUG